rnacentral:rRNA from 1 species
UACGUAGGGGGCAAGCGUUGUCCGGAUUUAUUGGGCGUAAAGAGCUCGUAGGCGGCUUGUCGCGUCGACUGUGAAAUCCCGCGGCUCAACUGCGGGUCUGCAGUCGAUACGGGCAGGCUAGAGUUCGGUAGGGGAGACUGGAAUUCCUGGUGUAGCGGUGAAAUGCGCAGAGUAUCAGGAGGAACACCGAUGGCGAAGGCAGGUCUCUGGGCCGAUACUGACGCUGAGGAGCGAAAGCGUGGGGAGCGAACAGG